rnacentral:tRNA from 1 species
UUGCACAAGCCUCUGAGAGGGAUGAAGAUAUUGUUUUCUUUGAUCAGAUUAUGCCGGUAAAGGUUUUCUGGUUUACCCUAUAGGGCUUGUAGCUCAGUUGGUUAGAGCGCGCGCUUGAUAAGCGUGAGGUCGGAGGUUCAAGUCCUCCCAGGCCCACCAGUUACACGAUGCUAAAAGUUGCUAUAUUGGGAGAGUUGAUAAUCCCUUACAGGAAAUUAUUGCCCUUAAUAAAACUUUAUUUUCUAAAAGCAUUCAGAGCUGACAUAGAAUAGAGCUGACAUAGAAUUGAGAAUCUGACAUAGGAAUUAUUGAAAUUGUUUUGGAAUUAUUGAAAUUGUUUUCUAUCAUUUUAAAAGGCUAAAAUAUUCUGUCUCUAUUUUUAAAAUAGCAUCAGGUGUUUUGUAAGAGUGUGAAGUUUUUAAGUGUGAGGUUUUUUAUAUUUUAGUGUGAGGUUUUUAUAAGGGUAUGACGUGAGAGCGUUUUGACCUGUUUUAGGGGCCGUAGCUCAGCUGGGAGAGCACCUGCUUUGCAAGCAGGGGGUCGUCGGUUCGAUCCCGUCCGGCUCCACCAUAAUUUGGUUCAUCAUUAUUGUUAGAAGAAUAGUUAUUGCAAGAGAUUGAGAGAUCUCUUUGCUUGUUCUAUUG